rnacentral:rRNA from 1 species
CCCCCAGUAACGGCGAGUGAAGAGGGAUAAGCCCAGCGCUGAACCCGCGUACCUUGAGGUGCGUGGGAAUGUUGCGUUCGGAUCGAUUGCACGCCCUGCUCGUGACUGUCGCACGUCCUUCUGAUUGAGGCUGCCCCGUAGAGGGUGUCAGGCCCGUAGUCGACGGUCGCGGGUGGAUGCAGCGGUUGAUCUUUGAGUCGGGUUGUUUGGGAAUGCAGCCCUAAGUGGGAGGUAAACUUCUCCUAAGGCUAAAUACCAUGGCGAGACCGAUAGCGAACAAGUACCGUGAGGGAAAGUUGAAAAGCACUCUGAAGAGAGAGUUAAAUAGUACGUGAAACUGUCGAGAGGUAAACGGUGAAGGCGUCCCUUCUUUCCAGCGAUAUUCAACCGGCAACUGCGCGGGGCUUGGCGGAUUGACCCGCAAGGGCUGUUCGUCGAUGUCUGUCGGUGUGGGCGUCGGUGCACUUAUCGUUGGGAGUAGCCACGACCGAUUGGACGGGCGCGUGGUGCCCCGUGGGUUGGAGGUUAGCCACUUCGGUGGAGAGCCAAUACCCGCGGGUGCAUGGCCGCCUAUCCGAUCGUGGAUGUGAAGUGACGGCCACUAGGCGUGGGCUGCUCGUUAUAGCGCUUGAGGUCGGUCGCCUUCGUAAGAAGACGGUUGGCCGUAGGGUUCUGUGGCGGGUUCGCUCGCAUGUUGCUUCCUGUUGUGGCACGGGUGCCCUUUACCGACCCGUCUUGAAACACGGACCAAGGAGUCUAACAUGUGUGCGAGUCUCGAGGGUGUUAAAACCCAUAGGCGCAAUGAAAGUAAUGCCGGCGGGAUGGGGGCCUCGGUCCUUUGCACCGCCGCCACGUCCACCGCAUCCCCGUAUGCAGGGCGUAGGCUGAGCAUACACGUUGGGACCCGAAAGAUGGUGAACUAUGCCUGAACAGGAUGAAGCCAGGGGAAACUCUGGUGGAGGUCCGUAGCGAUUCUGACGUGCAAAUCGAUCGUCUGAUUUGGGUAUAGGGGCGA